CCUGAGAGUCAGCCAGGGACAGAUGUGAGACGGGUUUGAGGGGACAGAAGUGAGACGGGUUUGAAGGGACAGAUGUGAGACGGGUUUGAGGGGACAGAUGUGAGACGGAUGUGAGGGGACAGAUGUGAGACGGGUUUGAGGGGACAGAUGUGAGACGGGUUUGAAGGGACAGAUGUGAGACGGGUUUGAGGGGACAGAUGUGAGACGGGUUUGAGGGGACAGAUGUGAGACGGGUUUGUGGGCACAGAAGUGAGACGGGUUUGUGGGGACAGAAGUGAGACGGGUUUGAGGGGACAGAAGUGAGACGGGUUUGUGGGCACAGAUGUGAGACGGGUUUGAGGGCACAGAAGUGAGACGGGUUUGUGGGCACAGAAGUGAGACAGGUGUGCAGGGACAGAUGUGAGACAGGAAACUAACCCUACAUUGUGAGAAUACCGU